GGCUCAGGACGAACGCUGGCGGCGUGCUUAACACAUGCAAGUCGUACGGUAAGGCCCUUUCGGGGGUACACGAGUGGCGAACGGGUGAGUAACACGUGAGUAACCUGCCCACAACUUUGGGAUAACGCUAGGAAACUGGUGCUAAUACUGGAUAUGUGCUCCUGCUGCAUGGUGGGGGUUGGAAAGCUCCGGCGGUUGUGGAUGGACUCGCGGCCUAUCAGCUUGUUGGUGGGGUAGUGGCCUACCAAGGCGGCGACGGGUAGCCGGCCUGAGAGGGUGACCGGCCACAUUGGGACUGAGAUACGGCCCAGACUCCUACGGGAGGCAGCAGUGGGGAAUAUUGCACAAUGGGCGCAAGCCUGAUGCAGCAACGCCGCGUGCGGGAUGACGGCCUUCGGGUUGUAAACCGCUUUCAGCAGGGACGAAGCUUUUUGUGACGGUACCUGCAGAAGAAGCACCGGCUAACUACGUGCCAGCAGCCGCGGUAAU
rnacentral:rRNA from 1 species